rnacentral:rRNA from 1 species
UACGGAGGGAGCUAGCGUUGUUCGGAAAUACUGGGCGUAAAGCGCACGUAGGCGGCGCAGCAAGUCAGGGGUGAAAGCCCGGGGCUCAACCCCCGGAGGGUCUUCCGAAACUGCCGGGCUAGAGUGCGGAAGAGGCAACCGGAAUUCCCAGUGUAGCGGUGAAAUGCGUAGAUAUUGGGAAGAACACCGGAGGCGAAGGCGGGUUGCUGGGCCGACACUGACGCUGAGGCGCGAAAGCCAGGGGAGCAAACGGG